GGUGGUCGUAGCAAAUAU
rnacentral:miRNA from 1 species